GGAGAGGUCGCAUAGUUGGCCUAGUGCGCUCGCUUGGAAAGCGAGUACGGUGCAAGCCGUCGCGGGUUCGAAUCCCGCCCUCUCCGCCA
rnacentral:tRNA from 1 species